GGCUUAUUCUCCGUUUCCACUUUGAUGCGCGCGAACAUGUCGUAGUUCGUUAUCACGCACAUUUUACCUGUAAACAAAGAGAUAGACUUAUUUAAUAAUAUUACCACAAGUUUAAUCAAUUGCUUGUUUUAAGGUACCUCUAACUUGAAAUCUGAAGACCAACUAUGUCAGCUGUCGAAGGGGCAUAACCUAUUGCAGAUCUACCAGCCGUGUUGCCAGUAGAACUGACGAGGCUAGGAGCUGAGAUUUAUCGUCGAUGUGAUGGAUCGGCGGCAAGCUGGGACUCCUCUGGUGGCUGACCUCUUCGUAUUCGUAAGGUUGUUUAUGCAGUUCCAAAGUGCUUGCAAACUGGUUUCGUGCUUGAACACGGUUGGUGUAGCGUUCGCUCGAACCCCAUGGCAAGUAAAGGUUCCUGAUUGGUGGUGGGAUGUUGUUCGACGCGUAGCGAAAACUGCCCCGGAAGGCUGCCGAUGCGUAUCUAGGAGUAAGAAGUUGGGUCGCAGACCGCCGACCCCCGCGUGACCUGCAUAUGGACAGCUUCUCGUACAGAUAAAUAGGAGUCUGACAGUUUAUUACUCCAAAGAGUAAAGCGGCAAGGUGAAGCUUACGCUUCUCGACUUAAGCUAAUCGUUACGUACUCUCUCAGUUUCAUUUCGAUUUAUUAUCAACGAUGCGUGUCAUGAAAAUAGGCACCGUUUGUCCAGAGAGAACUUCAUAGACCGCGAGCCAGGAACAGAUUGCCAUGACCAACGGCUAUGUAUGAUGAACCCUCGUGGACGUCAGCUGCCGCUCCAGUCCGUUUGGUGGGUUGAAGAAUGCAGCCACCGAAACACGUAAAAAAAAAUUUGUCGUCGCCUCCCGUUUGAUAUUUUGUUUGGUCUUUCCGCGGCGAUACAACCGGCUGACUUUUUUUUAAAUUCAAUAGCAUGUAAACUAUCAUCUGACCAUGACAAAGUAUCAGUCGGGAGGCUAUGACUGACGAUACAUGCUCAGCCUGGCCCGCGGUCUAUAAUUUUUAAAUCACUCUCUUAUUUAUAAAAUAAAAUAUAAUUUUACAUGAACAAACAUAUUCUCGUAUAAAAUAAAAUACCUAUGAAAUUGACACAAUUAAAUACAUAUGUUUUUUUUAUUGAAUUUUUGAGCACAUUGACUAUGCAUCAACCUAGGUCAGGUCUAUCUAACCAUUCUAACCUAGUUUCGUAUAUCUAGAUUAUGAUGAUUUGUCUUUAUAACUUGAAGUUGAACUCGACUCGAGGUAAAUAUUAGGUGUGUAACUAUGCGUAAUCAAUCGUUCGUAAGGUUCGCCUUUAAUGAAUAUAGCAGUCAUAACAUGGUGUGGCAUAUUUUUAAUAUAUAUAUAUAUUUUUUUUUUUUGUUAGCCGGUCAUAGUGUCCCUCUGCUGGGAAAAGUCCCCGUGAUCUCCACAGCUCCCGUUGUUGUGUUAUUUAUGGCCCGUUAAUGAUGACCGCACUAUCGGUUUCUCUCGCUACGCUUUUGGUUCAAUUUUAGAAUCUUUCGUUUGCUCAGGUCCGUCUCAAUAUUUGCAUUAAGAGGUUAAACACUUUAAUCUACAAGUUGCCCCCAUUGUGAAAUAAAUAAUUAUUACUUAAAUGUGCUUAGAAUACAAUUUAAUACAAAUGGUUACGUGUCAAUUGUUCUGGGUUCCAUUUCUCGAACGGUAUUAGUCUAAUAUUAUAGUGUGUUGCCAUGGUAACCCAUACGACUUGACAGUUGGUGGACUUAUAAUAUUAGUCUAAUACCGUUCGAGAAAUGGGCCCCUGACUAACCAACUACCUACUAACUAUAUUAUUAAAUAUCCACACAGAUUUUGCAUAGUCAUUACGGAUCUGGGGGCCUAGCCAAGAUGCCAAUCAAUCUUACAUAUUAGUGCGAUAGAGAGACAGCGUUUGGAUGUCGUAGCGCAUCUUGGCUAGGCACCCUGGAGAUCACUGUACCACUGAAUCACUUUUGACUCACCUAAUCACGAGUAUGUUCCCCUAACUCCUAAAUUGGGACUGCGUGGUGCGUGCUCGAUUGGCUUUGAUAAGAUACGGAUUAGCAUUUGGGGCACGUGCCUUAUUGCAAGUUUAGAGGGCACUAAUAUUUAUUGAGUUUAAUAGGAUGUGUACACACAGGUGUUUUGUAGUUUGCAAUGAAUGAGGACGUUUCUCGCAUUACCAUGGUACCAGGUAGGUACCUAAUUAAAUAGCUGUAGCAAAAUUCUUGUAGGUAUUCGGUUCAUACAGAAAUUAAGAAGUUAAUUGGUUUUCGUAUAAGUAAAUCAAGUCCCUUGGAAUGCCAUCCCAUGAGCUUUCCACCAUAUCAUAAAAGCAAACUAGAAAUUAUGCUUUUAUAUAUUUUUUCAAGCUGAGAGAUACCUACUUAUCUAUAUUUUAAAGUAACGUUUUUUGCUGCUAUAAUACAGUGAGGAAAAGUUGCCACGUUUCACUAAAAUUGUUAAUCGCAUUUUUUUCAUAUUUCGUAGUUUAUAGAAGGUAAAUUUCUUAGUAAAAUUGAGAGACCAGAGUUAUUUGAUAUUUUCCUUGCUCUCUAGCAAGCACUCAAAAUCAUAAUUCGCAGUAAAAACAACUUUUCUCCAUUCUCAGAGAUAGAGAUCUUUAUUUGCAUCCCAGUAUGAUACACACAUAACAUCUUGCUGGCUUAAUGAAAUAAACUACUUAUGUACUUAUUAGGUAAGUAAUUUUCUUUCGAAGAUAUUUACAGCAAAUUAAAUUAAUGAAUUUGUUAUCCACUGGUUAUUGUUAUUACUUUACAUCAGGAAGAAUAGGUACUUAUAAUAAUUAACAAAAUUGAGAAGGUAGAUUGAAUAGGAAGGUACGUACAUACCAACCGCCGCAGUUUUAAAUUCCACUCCAGUUUACAGCUUCCGUGUCUAGCAGAAAAGACUUAUCACACCGAGACGCGAAAUAAAAAAACGUAACCAUAAACCAUAACCGUGAAUUUGUUGCAAAAUGUUCCGUGCUGCAGCGCACGGCCGCGGCCGACUACAAACAUGUAAACAGACGGACGGACACUAAACUAACAACUACCAACCAACCUCU